GGUGCCGGGGGCGGCCCCGGGGCGGAGCCGCCCUCCCCGCGGCCGGGAGGAGCCGCACGGCAGCCCCGGCAGCGGCCGAUGGCGGAGCCGUGCGGCGAUCACGGGCCGCGCUGGGCGCUGCCGCUCCGCCCGCCGCUCUGCCUCGCCUGCGCCGUGGAGACCCUGGGCGACGGCAGCGCCUCGCUGGUGCGCAAGAAGCACGUCCUGUCCCGUCUCCAGGAUGCCCUGGCCUGGCAGGCGCUGCCAGUCGUCCAGCUGCUGGCACCAGACGAGAGGGUGUGCAUGCAUUUGAUAGGAACUCUCUUUGGGAUGUUGCAUUCUGUGGAAGACAGCAGUGCCCUGAACCUAUUAGUUGAAGUUCUGGUGCGGCUUCUUGUGGAGCUGAAGUCAGAACAGUACUUAUACUGCAUCUUGGAUGAAAGUCAGAAGGAGCUGUGCAAAGCAACUACCAUGAGAAGCAGCCUGCCCACAUUUUCUCUCUUGGGCAAGCUGGCAGAUGCCAUCCCAGGCUUUGCUGAUCUACUGGUGGGAAAGCACAAUAAUUUAGUGGAUCAUCUGCUGAUGGGCUUGAUGUACCCAAACGAAGGUAUAAAGGCUGCUGUCUGCUACUUGUAUGGCAAGUUGUACUCCUCUCCUGUUGGCACAGAACGGCUCUCAGGACACUUUGAAGAAAGGCUGUGUGGUGUCUUCUUGAAUACCUUGGGGUGUGCACAGACAAAGGAGCUGCAGGUUAAUUGUUUGGGUUUGCUAAAGGAGCUGCUGAAAUCUGAUCAUUUUGUAUCUAUUCUUAUGAAUAAUUCAAAGACAGAGGAGGAGACUGAGAACCCUGACUUUUUAGAAGGGGAAAAUCCACUGCCACUUGUUCUCAAAAAGCUCUUGUUGACCAGAGAUGAGAUGUUACAGGCAGCGAGUUCUCACUGUAUGGCUUCAGUGCUGGUUCACUCUCCUAGCAGAUAUGCUUCUGCUUUUAUCCAUGCAGAUGUCCCAGAGUUUCUCUUCGAGUGUCUCUUGUGCAAAAGUGAAUUCCUAAUCUGGUCAGUGUACUGCUGCCUGCUCCUCCUGACUGAAGAGCGCCUUUUCUUCUCCAAGUGUCACACCGUCUAUGGCAUUGAAUCUCUGGUGAGGAGUCUCCAGGGUGUCCUGCUGCUGAACAAUGUGGAGUUGCACAAGCAAGGGCUCCUGCUCUUCACUGAAAUACUGAAACGGCAACCAGUGGAAAUCAAAUUAUUCACAAACCGAGGUGUAUGUAUAGAAGCCAUUGAUGUUCUGAUGGAGACAGUGAACUGCCCAGCGCUGGAGGUGGCGGUGGAGGCUGUGAAAGCUGUGGCAGCUUUCCUGAGGAAGGACCAUCUGAGCUCCCCUCCAGUCCCAUAUGAAGAGCUGCAGAAACUUCUGGAAGCAAUGCUGAAGCGAUGUGCUGACCUUUCCCCACCACAGAGUAGUAAGAGGCAUGCAGGUGAUCUCCUAUUCUCAGUGUCUCAGAGUCACCCAACAAACAGAAAUCUUGGUAGAGUUCCUCAGAGACAUGGUCAGUUCUUACUCAAUACCCUGGAAAGUUUCAGAAAUGCUUGCAGGUUAGCAGUGGAAUUCCAGGGUGACUUCAUGGCCCAGGAGAAUGCUUUCACUGCCCCCAACUCUGAGAGCAAAGACACACUAAGCAACUUCUCCGAGUUCCUGUUGAGGAUUUGUGACAGUCUCUGCAUCCCCAUGGUCAUGAGCUAUCUGGAAAGGGCUGUCAGCCCACCAGUGACAGAGGUUUUCAUCUCAACACUCAGUACCCUCUUUACAGUGGUGCCAAGCAUGAGGAAUAAGUUCUCCAAGAAGCUGGCAUCCUCGUCCUUCAUCCGACUGACACUGGAGCUGAAGGCCAGAUUUUGCUCUGUACAGAGUAAUCCUGUCCUGAAUCACACCUGUUCCAGCUUCCUCUGCAGCUUAUGCCUGAACCUUUACGCAGCCACAGAGAAGAGGAGAACUUCUUCUCAAGAGGAGCAAGAGAUGUCUGAGCUCCUGCAGAAGGGUCUGCCUCAGUUAAACUUCACCAUUGCUGAAAGCCUUCUCCUCCUGUCUGAAGCCCCUGAGCCUUUCUUUUUGGAUCAGUCUCUUUGCAGCCAUCAGCACUGUUUCAUACUGCUCUUAUACUUUGCCUACACCUUUGGGGACAGGUUUGUUCCAGAGGCAGAAUUAUUUCUAGCUGUAAGAAAUUUUCUCCUCUCAGCACAGGACCAUGGAGACUGUCCCCCUCCACACAUACUCAGAGCUGCACUUUACCUCCUUGCCGUCUGUCAGGACAAAGGCAAAGCCCUGGAUGUGAGGUCUUUGUCUACCAUAAGAAGGAUCCUAGAUAAUCUUCCAGAUCUGAGCCUGGUCUAUGUCCAUUGUCCUCUCCUGCUGAAAUUCUUCCUGAGCUACUCUGAACUUAUGGGGAAAUUUGGACACCAAAUCCUCCAACUCUGGUUUUCCUGGGAAGACUGCAAUCAGUCUGAGGCGGAAGAAGGUGAUUUUGGCACGUCUGAUCAGCUGAACAGCACUAACCCAUUGCUUCCCAUACUGAAGAGUAAUUCCAGCAUUUUGCUUAUUUUACUGGACCUGGUCUGCUCAGGCUCUGUGGAAGUGGCUUGGAAGGUGUUGAUUACUCUAAGGACCUUCCUGGAAAGAAAUGAGGAUGUCCUUGUCUGUGACCUCCUUCGGAGCCGUUUUUUACAGAUUCUGCAGCAGCUGCUGGUAGAGAGUAGCUCAGCCACCCUACAAGCUAACAGGAACCUGCCUGUUUUGCUGAGCCUUCUUUUCCUGGUGCAGCUGCGGAGCAAGGGCAUAAGGGAGCUGGACAGCACAGACUUCAAGCUGCUUCACCAGGUCAGUAAUCUCUGUGGGAAAUGCAGGCCAAGGGACACUGACCUCCUGCAGCCAUCCUUGAAUUUUCUGUACUGGAGCCUUCAUCAGACAACACCUUGCAGUCAGCAGAGAGCAGUGGCUGUGCUGCUCUCCAACGUGUCCUUGUUAGAACUCCUGCAGAAGGUUUUGGAAUGCACCUGGCUGUGGUCCCCUACUUCCAGACCUGCCUACCUGUCAUCUGAGGAUGCCUUGCUGUGCUCUGGAUGGCUGUUGGUGGCUUCCCUUUUGCUUUAUCAGCAUCGAUACAAUACUGAGUUAUUCCUUGCAGCACCUCUCCAGCAGGAUGGAAAGCUAGCAUGUCACUGAAGGUCUGAGACACGAAUCAUCAAAGAGUUAAAGAAGGGCACAAAUCCUGCAGGGAGAAGUGCAUACCCAACCUUCCUGAUCCAAAUCACUCUCCUCUUCAGGACAGAGCAAAAUACAUUUUAAAACCUUUCUCAAGGGAAGCCUGGGGGUGGAAGGCACAGCUCCCAUGUUGUAAACUGCUUUUUUGUUACUAAAAUGAUCAAUAGUGAAAUAGAACCUAUUAUUGGUAAGUAAGUGUUCAAUAUUAGCAAGCUCUUAAGAAUGUGGGCAGCUGUCAUUAUAUUUGAUGCUUUGCAGUCCAACAAGACAUCUAAGCUGGAGUUGUCAGCUAAUAAUGGAAUUUACAACUUUGAAGAAAGCACUUUCCAAUGCCAAUCAAUAUAAGGAAAAAAUGUUUCCUUUUGAAGUAUCUACCCAGACCUCUCUUGAUACAGAGUUAGAGAGCAUGUCAUGAGUUGUGAGCUCUGCUGUUGCAGUUAUGCCCAGCAGAGCAUGCUCUUUGGGAGUUGGUACACCUGUUUGCAGAUGAUAAGAUCACAUUAAGGACAUUCAUGCAUGAGCACAGAAAAGCAAGGGUUGGAUUUCUAAUACUGAAGGGAAGAUGUUUUCCAGAAGACCAGCCCAGACCAAGUCUGCACCCAUUACUUUGUCAGCAUGAGCUGGGCUUAGAGCAUGGUACUUGUACAGACUGUCAGCUGUGGGAAUGCAGCCUGGCCCCGCUCUGCCAGCUGCUAAAUACAGCCUGUCUUCUCAAUUUCCUGGGGAAAUUGACAGGGCUGUGUCUGGUGUUGUGCCAGUCCCAAAUGACAUUCUAGUGUCCAGUGUCAAGUGUUGAGCUCCUGGGAGUGAUGCUCUCAGCUGGUAUUGAUCCUUGAAGUGCAAUCAUCUAGCAGCUCAUAAGCCUGUUGCUUGGUUUUACCAAUACCACUGGCUUGAUGUGCUACCAUAUACAACCCAGAAAUGUUUUUGCACCAGAGAUGAGGAAAGAAACUACAGAUACAGCUGGGAAAUGGAAAGGGAUCAAGACUGCUUCAGUGUUUCUGAUCUUCAGCAUUUCUAAGUGUUCGUGUUUCUAAUAUUCUGCUGAAGGGGAAGAAGUGGAAGAGUCACUUCUCUUGCUUCUUUCUGCUGUUGAGUGUAGCUGGAGCUGCACAAAGCAUCCUGGAGACUCUCGUAAGAGCACCUUUGUGGCUGUGAAUGUAAGCUGAUGACAGGCUGUCUCCCUGAGUCUGCAGUUUUUUAGGGGAGAACAAUGGCUUCAAGAAAUGGCCACAUUCAUCUCAGGCUGAUGUUAAUAGUGAGGACUUGUUUGGCCAUAGCAAACUUACAUCUUUACUUGUGUUACUGCUACCCUGUGAAUAAACAGGACUCAUGGAUGGUAGGCUAUUAAAGGCUUUGACUUGUCAGUUCUAAAAUGAGUACCCACUGCCACCAUGUUGCAGGAGCUACUCCUAGUUCUGUGGAAUAUUUCCCUCUUCGGAAGAGUAUUUAAAAGAGUCAGCCCUGUGAUCUUUAUGCCUGCCUUCCCAUAUCAACUCUCUGGCUUAUUGAAGAAUUUGAACCCUUCUGCUGUUCUCUGAGCUUCAUGCCAUUGCUCUUGAAUGGCUGUUCUGUGGUGGAAACAAUAUAUUGCAGAUUUCCCUCUCAAGGCAACCUUUCCUGUUUCAACUAGUUCCCAAAUCCCUAAACUCCUCUGCCACUUUCACCCAUGCAAUAGUUCCUAUCCCUGGGCUCUCAGCAGGCCCCAGCUCCAGCAGGGAAAAACAGCUUCUGGCCAUUGCUGCUUUUGGCUGCCUGGCUCCUUGGUCUUGUUGCAUGGCUCUGUGGCUAAGGUAGAGCCAUGUUUGCUGGUAGCUGUUCCUGACACUUCAUGUGCUUGGCAGGCUGACAACCACGUGUCGGAGGUCCUGCAGAGAGUAGUGAGAACAAGACAGACAAGGUAAAGUGUGGUUUGGAAGCUGUGCAGCUCAGGCAACUAGUGGUGAGUGAAGCAUGAGGGUCCAAUGAUGUAAUUUUCUCUUCUGUGUCAGCCUCCUGAAACCCUGUUGCUGUUCCCUUGGUUUUCAGUGGUCACCAUGGGUUAGUGUCUAAGAACUAGAAGUAUUUAAUGGCACUUUUUAUCUGCUCCAAACAAGCACCGCUUUUCUAUUUAAUUCUCUUCUAGGUUCACCAGACACUCUCUGUAGACCUUAAAGAAGUCCUGAAUGCAGUCAUCUUCAGGAAUAAGAAGCCAAUCUUGCUGUUAGUGAGCAUCAUGCAGUUC